ACGAACGCUGGCGGCAUGCCUAACACAUGCAAGUCGAACGAGACCUUCGGGUCUAGUGGCGCACGGGUGCGUAACGCGUGGGAACCUGCCCUUAGGUUCGGAAUAACUUCCCGAAAGGGAUGCUAAUACCGGAUAAUGUCUUCGGACCAAAGAUUUAUCGCCUUUGGAUGGGCCCGCGUAGGAUUAGCUUGUUGGUGGGGUAAUGGCCUACCAAGGCGACGAUCCUUAGCUGGUCUGAGAGGAUGAUCAGCCACACUGGGACUGAGACACGGCCCAGACUCCUACGGGAGGCAGCAGUGGGGAAUAUUGGACAAUGGGCGAAAGCCUGAUCCAGCAAUGCCGCGUGAGUGAUGAAGGCCUUAGGGUUGUAAAGCUCUUUUACCAGGGAUGAUAAUGACAGUACCUGGAGAAUAAGCUCCGGCUAACUCCGU
rnacentral:rRNA from 1 species